GCUACAUUUUAUACCUUGCUAAUUCGUGGAUUAUAUAUCAACACUUGAUCAUUCCAGCACUUGAUCAAUUUGGGCCUAUUGUACCAGAGUCAAGUGUGGCAUUCUAGACCUACUAUGCAAUGGUUAAAUGAAAUACCUUGGACUGACUUCAUAGAAGUUAUAUAUAGUAUUUUAGAUCUAUUUUGGACCUAAUCCAUCGAGGUUAAAUACAUAAUUUUGGCCCUUUUACAAGGAUAAUAUAACAUAGUCAUGUAGACAGAUAAUUCAGUAACUUAUAAUAAAUUGAUGGAA
rnacentral:lncRNA from 1 species